AGAUUGAACGCUGGCGGCAUGCCUAACACAUGCAAGUCGAACGGGAGUAGCAAUACUCUAGUGGCGGACGGGUGAGGAAUACGUAGGAAUUUGCCCUUAAGUGGGGGAUAACCCGGGGAAACCCGGAUUAAUACCGCAUGACCUCGAAAGAGCAAAGUGGGGGAUCGCAAGACCUCACGCUUUUGGAGAAGCCUACGUCGGAUUAGCUAGUUGGUGAGGUAAUGGCUCACCAAGGCGACGAUCCGUAACUGGUCUGAGAGGAUGAUCAGUCACACCGGAACUGAGACACGGUCCGGACUCCUACGGGAGGCAGCAGUGGGAAUAUGGACAAUGGGCGCAAGCCUGAUCCAGCAAUGCCGCGUGUGUGAAGAAGGCCUUCGGUUGUAAAGUCACUUUAAGUUAGGGAAGAAAAAACGUACGACUACUAACAACAGUGAGUCUUGACGGUACCGACAGAAUAA
rnacentral:rRNA from 1 species